UUCUCCUACGGGACGCAGCAGUGGGGAAUAUUGCACAAUGGGGGAAACCCUGAUGCAGCGACGCCGCGUGAGUGAAGAAGUAAUUCGUUAUGUAAAUCUCUAUCAGCAGGGAAGAAAAUGACGGUACCUGAGUAAGAAGCCCCGGCUAACUACGUGCCAGCAGCAGCGGUAAUACGUAGGGGGCAAGCGUUAUCCGGAUUUACUGGGUGUAAAGGGAGCGUAGACGGCGGUGCAAGUCUGGAGUGAAAGGCGGGGGCUCAACCCCCGGACUGCUCUGGGAACUGUACGGCUGG
rnacentral:rRNA from 1 species